rnacentral:misc_RNA from 1 species
UUAAGUUCAGCGGGUAGUCCUACCUGAUCCGAGGUCAACCUUCUGUAUUUACAGCAGUAAGGGUUUUACGGCUGGAUCUCCCAGCGCGUCCACAGGCGACAUAUCUCUACUACGCCCGGACACACGGAGAGUCCGCCACUGACUUUAAGAGCCCACGGUGCCUAAGCCCCGUGGCGCCCCAACACCAAGCAGACCUUGAG